AACCUCCGCAAUGUGAGAAAUCGCGACGGGGGGAUCCCAAGUGCCAUUCUUAACGGGAUGGCUUUUCAUUAGUGUAAAGAGCUUUUGGAAUAAGAGCUGGGCAAGACCGGUGCCAGCCGCCGCGGUAACACCGGCAGCUCUAGUGGUAACAAUUUUUAUUGGGCCUAAAGCGUCCGUAGCCGGUUUAAUAAGUCUCUGGUGAAAUCCUGCAGCUUAACUGUGGGAAUUGCUGGAGAUACUAUUAGACUUGAGACCGGGAGAGGUUAGAGGUACUCCCAGGGUAGAGGUGAAAUUCUGUAAUCCUGGGAGGACCGCCUGUUGCGAAGGCGUCUAACUGGAACGGUUCUGACGGUGAGGGACGAAAGUUAGGGGCGCGAACCGGAUUUAGAUACCCGGGUAGUCCUAACUGUAAACGAUGCGGACUUGGUGUUGGGGUGGCUUUGAGCUGCUUCAGUGCCGAAGGGAAGCUGUUAAGUCCGCCGCCUGGGAAGUACGGUCGCAAGACUGAAACUUAAAGGAAUU
rnacentral:rRNA from 1 species